rnacentral:rRNA from 1 species
AUUGAACGCUGGCGGCAGGCCUAACACAUGCAAGUCGAGCGGCAACAGAGAUUAGCUUGCUAAUCUGCUGACGAGCGGCGGACGGGUGAGUAAUGCAUAGGAAGUUGCCCAGUAGAGGGGGAUACCAGUUGGAAACGACUGUUAAUACCGCAUAACCUCUUUGGAGCAAAGCAGGGGACCUUCGGGCCUUGCGCUACUGGAUACGCCUAUGUGGGAUUAGCUAGUUGGUGAGGUAAUGGCUCACCAAGGCGACGAUCCCUAGCUGGUCUGAGAGGAUGAUCAGCCACACUGGGACUGAGACACGGCCCAGACUCCUACGGGAGGCAGCAGUGGGGAAUAUUGCACAAUGGGCGAAAGCCUGAUGCAGCCAUGCCGCGUGUAUGAAGAAGGCCUUCGGGUUGUAAAGUACUUUCAGUUGUGAGGAAGGUUGUGUAGUUAAUAGCUGCAUAAUUUGACGUUAGCAACAGAAGAAGCACCGGCUAACUCCGUGCCAGCAGCCGCGGUAAUACGGAGGGUGCGAGCGUUAAUCGGAAUUACUGGGCGUAAAGCGCAUGCAGGUGGUUUGUUAAGUCAGAUGUGAAAGCCCGGGGCUCAACCUCGGAAGGUCAUUUGAAACUGGCAAACUAGAGUACUGUAGAGGGGGGUAGAAUUUCAGGUGUAGCGGUGAAAUGCGUAGAGAUCUGAAGGAAUACCAGUGGCGAAGGCGGCCCCCUGGACAGAUACUGACACUCAGAUGCGAAAGCGUGGGGAGCAAACAGG